AAAAACAGUUAUUAUUACAUUACCCGAAUAUAAAAGAUCUAAGUGUAUAUUAAGUUGUUAGACUAUUUUGUUGUGUACUGUGGCAUUAGUUACUAAGACAAUACCUUAGAGGUGAAAGGCCUUCAAUUUUGUAGAUAACUGGAUAAAUGUUAAAUAUAUUAAGUUUAAAAUAAACUUACACAGUGAUAAGAUUUUGUAAGAUAUAAAUUUUUGUAUAAUUUAUCGCUGCCAGAGACUAAUAAUUUUAGGCAUAUCUUUGACGAUUAAUAAUGUUACCAUAAAAUAAUUAUAUAUUAAUAUUUUACUUUACUAUGCCUGCCUAGUAAGUAGAUAAUGUAUAAAUAAGUAUAUACAAAUAUAAAUUUUAAGUAAGGAACUCGGCAAAUAAAGAGUACGACUGUUUAACAAAAACAUAGCCGGUAGCUAUAUAAUUAUCGGUGAUACCUGCCCAGUGAAUUUUUAACGGCCGCAGUACUAUGACUGUGCAAAGGUAGCAUAAUCAUUUGGCUUUUAAUUGAAGUCUGGCAUGAAAGGAUAAACGUACUUUAGCUGUCUAGAUACAAAAUUUAUUAAAAUUAUUUAUAGGGUGAAAAUACCCUAAUUAAGAAAAAAAGACGAGAAGACCCUUAGAAUUUUAAGCAAAAGCCAACUUUGAUAGGGCGUGAUUUUUGUUGGGGCAACAUUUUUUCAGGGAAAACAAAAAAUUUAUAUUAGAACUACAAAACGAAUGUGUUUAAUAAAGUAAAAAUUACCUAAGGGAUAACAGCAUAAUUUUAAGUAAAGAUUGUGACCUCGAUGUUGGAUUAGGAACUAUUAAGGCUAGUCGUUUUAAUAUAAUAGGUUCUGUUCGAACUUUACUUCCUA
rnacentral:rRNA from 1 species